GUAGAGCGAAUCUUGCUUUAAGCAAAAAGUCUGGAUUUUCACAAGAUAAAUUAAGGAGUAGACGUUCUUUUAUCCAGAAGAAUUUGAAAUAAGAUUUAAGUAGCCAAUUCAAGUAUUAAUUUCUCUUAAAAACUUCAGUUUUCAGAGGAAUUUUCAUAAAUAUGUCAUAAAGCAAGAUGUGCUUUCAUUGUUCAUAAGAGUCCAUGACAUUUUAAGUCUUUUUACAGUAAAGGGGAUCCUGGUAGUUUAUGAUAAAAUGAAUCCUGUUUCCCAAGCAAUUUAACUAUUAAAUUCCCACUAAUAUUUUCUCUGGAAUGAAAAUAGCUUUA
rnacentral:lncRNA from 1 species